rnacentral:rRNA from 1 species
AUUGAACGCUGGCGGCAGGCUUAACACAUGCAAGUCGAGCGGGGUGAUGGUGCUUGCACUAUCACUUAGCGGCGGACGGGUGAGUAAUGCUUAGGAAUCUGCCUAUUAGUGGGGGACAACAUCUCGAAAGGGAUGCUAAUACCGCAUACGUCCUACGGGAGAAAGCAGGGGAUCACUUGUGACCUUGCGCUAAUAGAUGAGCCUAAGUCGGAUUAGCUCUGUGGUGGGGUAAAGGCCUACCAAGGCGACGAUCUGUAGCGGGUCUGAGAGGAGGCUCGGACACACUGGGACUGAGACACGGCCCAGACUCCUACGGGAGGUAGAAGUGGGGAGUAUUGGACAAUGGGGGGAACCCUGAUCCAGCCAUGCCGCGUGUGUGAAGAAGGCCUUAUGGUUGUAAAGCACUUUAAGCGAGGAGGAGGCUCUUUUGGUCAAUACCCAAGAUGAGUGGACGUUACUCGCAGAAUAAGCACCGGCUAACUCUGUGCCAGCCGCCGCCGUAA